GAUCCUGGCUCAGGACGAACGCUGGCGGCGUGCUUAACACAUGCAAGUCGAACGAGAAUCUGUGGAAAGAGGAUUCGUCCAAUUGAAGCAGAGGACAGUGGCGGACGGGUGAGUAACGCGUGAGGAACCUGCCUUUCAGAGGGGGACAACAGUUGGAAACGACUGCUAAUACCGCAUAACAUAUAGAUGUCGCAUGGCAUUUAUAUCAAAGAUUUAUCGCUGAAAGAUGG
rnacentral:rRNA from 1 species